rnacentral:rRNA from 1 species
AGAGUUUGAUCCUGGCUCAGAUUGAACGCUGGCGGCAUGCCUUACACAUGCAAGUCGAACGGCAGCACGGGCUUCGGUCUGGUGGCGAGUGGCGAACGGGUGAGUAAUGUAUCGGAACGUACCUUUCAGUGGGGGAUAACGUAGCGAAAGUUACGCUAAUACCGCAUAUUCUGUGAGCAGGAAAGCAGGGGAUCGCAAGACCUUGCGCUGAUUGAGCGGCCGAUAUCAGAUUAGCUAGUUGGUGAGGUAAAGGCUCACCAAGGCGACGAUCUGUAGCGGGUCUGAGAGGAUGAUCCGCCACACUGGAACUGAGACACGGUCCAGACUCCUACGGGAGGCAGCAGUGGGGAAUUUUGGACAAUGGGCGCAAGCCUGAUCCAGCCAUGCCGCGUGAGUGAAGAAGGCCUUCGGGUUGUAAAGCUCUUUCGGCCGGGAAGAAAUCGCAUGGGUUAAUACCCUGUGCGGAUGACGGUACCGGCAUAAGAAGCACCGGCUAACUACGUGCCAGCAGCCGCGGUAAUACGUAGGGUGCGAGCGUUAAUCGGAAUUACUGGGCGUAAAGCGUGCGCAGGCGGUUUUGUAAGACAGGCGUGAAAUCCCCGGGCUCAACCUGGGAACUGCGCUUGUGACUGCAAGGCUAGAGUACGGCAGAGGGGGGUGGAAUUCCACGUGUAGCAGUGAAAUGCGUAAAGAUGUGGAGGAACACCAACGGCU